CUGUCGGUCAAUGCUAGGCAUUGUGUAGGUCCUACACAAGAUGAAACGCCCCCUCUCACUUCCGGUUUUGUUUUUCGGGAAGGCAACUCUCUUGAUUUGUUUUUGUCGGGGCGGAGCUUUGCUGUUGAACUUGUUAAUGUUGUCGCAGUGAUAUAAUACUGCAUCAUGAAGACGCCCUCCUCCCCCGGGCUGGACGCAGAUGCUGUAAACGAAGCAGAAAGAAGUCAUGGGGAAUAAAAGGAAGAGGAAGGAAGCCGUCUGAGCCGCCCAAUCUCAACAUAAUCUUCCACUGCAGCAAGUGUCGCAAUAAAAAAGGUCUGCCUGAGACUUUUUAAGAGCCAUGAACCGAGAGCCUCGCAGAGACAAGAUCAGGCCCUGCUACUUUAGCAGCGUGACGAGCAUGUCAGGAUCAAAGCUGCCCGCUGGAGUCUCGCAGCCUCCGCAGUUUGCCAAGCGGCCUUGGGAGACUCAAACCCGACCGGGGCAGGAGGCCAUGGUCGGCGGCCAGCGUCAGCACCAGACCAUCGUGUGCCGACCUCUCAACCAUAUCCCUCACAUCAGAAACGCCAAACUCCGCCAGUACUACCUGCAAGGGACUUCAUGGGAUCUCGGUAAUGCUGUAGUGACAAAGGAGCACGCAGGCGAAAAGUCAGAUGACAGUCGCAGCGACAGGGGUGGCACUGGAGACUCUGUUUUUGGCGUCUCAUCAAAGUUGAAUAUAGCACUGUCGGCAAAAGACAGCACAAUGGGACACAACCCCUCCCACACGUCCUCAUCUGCCCCCCUCAUCCAGAGACGGGUGAGAGUGUCGCUUUGUUUUCUGUGCAUGUAAAGGAGGAAGGUGAAACCUGCUGCUAUUUGUUUACAAUGCAAAUCAAGACGUGACGUGCGCCACAUUUUAACUUUAGUAACAAUUUUAGUCAAACAAGUAUCGUAAAUAUCAUUUACACACGUGUCAAACCUAAGACCCGGGGGCUAAAUCCGGUCCUUUAGAUCAUCAAAUUUGGCACUCAGGAUAGAUUCGAAAUGACAAAACAUUAAUUAUUGUGUAAAAAUUCUCAAUAAUUCAUCUGUAGAUAUCUCAACCCUUUCAAAUACAUAAAUUCAAUGAAUAUCCACAAUAUUUGCGGGGAUGCACACUUUUCCCAUGCUUUUAUCAUGUAAUGAUAGUCAAUUGUGCCAAAAAUAAUAAUGC
rnacentral:lncRNA from 1 species